UACGUAGGGGGCAAGCGUUGUCCGGAUUUAUUGGGCGUAAAGAGCGUGUAGGCGGUUUGGUAGGUCCGCUGUGAAAACUCGAGGCUCAACCUCGAGACGCCGAUGGAAACCGCAUGGCUAGAGUCCGGAAGAGGAGAGUGGAAUUCCUGGUGUAGCGGUGAAAUGCGCAGAUAUCAGGAAGAACACCCGUGGCUAAGGCGGCUCUCUAGUACGGUACUGACGCUGAGACGCGAAAGCGUGGGGAGCGAACAGG
rnacentral:rRNA from 1 species